AUUGAACGCUGGCGGCAGGCCUAACACAUGCAAGUCGAACGAGUGGCGGACGGGUGAGUAAUGUAUGGGAAACUGCCUGAUGGAGGGGGAUAACUACUGGAAACGGUAGAUAAUACGGCAUACCAUCAGAUGUGCCCAGAUGGGAUUAGCUAGUUGGUGGGGUAACGGCUCACCAAGGCGACGAUCCCUAGCUGGUCUGAGCGGAUGACCAGCCACCCUGAAACUGAGACACGGUCCAACCUCCUACGGGAGGCAGCCGUGGGUAAUAUUGCACAAUGGCCGCAAGCCUGAUGCAGCCAUGCCGCGUGUAUGAAGAAGGCCUUCGGGUUGUAAAGUACUUUCAGCGGUGAGGCGUUACCCGCAGAAGAAGCACCGGCUAACUCCGUGCCAGCCGCCGCGGUAAUAC
rnacentral:rRNA from 1 species